ACUUUGUCCACUUGAGCUUCAAUCCGUUUGCUCUCCAUUACCCACCUCAACCUCAUACGAUAAAAAAACACAUUUUAAUAGAAAUCACAACAUAAGAUGGAUCAAAACCACGAACCCUUAAACUCUUUCCUAGAAUCAUGAAAAUCCCCAAAGCACCAUAUCCACGCUCUCUCUUCUUCUUUACUUCUUCAACUUCUACUCUCAGAUCCUCUCCUAUCCUUUCAAUCAAGCUUGCUCAUUUCCAAACCCUUUUUGUCAAACCAAAAAGCACACAAAGAUGCUCACUGAAGGCUUGGGUGAAAGCGCAAUCAAGUGGGUCAAACAGGGAUCAGAUUUACAAGUGGAAGAACCCCCACUAGUUCGAUCUCCUUUAACAGAGAAGAUUGGAUGUGGCCCAUUUCCAAAA